rfam:Jatropha curcas cultivar GZQX0401 scaffold550_19, whole genome shotgun sequence.
GCGACCUUACUUGAAGGAUCAAUUCUAUAGGAUCGUUCAUCCGUAUCCCUUGGGACAAAGGAGACAGGAACCCGAACCCGUUUGAUGAGUGGAAACCGUGCGGUCAGAGCGUGAUUAACGGUCUUGAUUGGACCGUCGGGUUCAAUAUGGCUGUUGAGGAUCGUACAUGGUCUUGCUGAUUGGGUUGGACGCAUGGUUGUCUGACAGGCU